AAAACUCUCAUGUUAAAAGGAGAAAGGAGAACGAACAGAAGGGAAUAAAACCUGAAAGAAGGCAUACAGGAAAAGGGACAAGGUUCUCUUCGCUAAUUGGCUGCUACACUGGAGUCCAUUACAAGGCACUGCAAAUAUUGGUCCACCAGGAAAUAAUUUCCAAGCUAAGUGAGUAAGUGACUACAUCUAUAGGGUGGCUGCUGUGGUCACCCCACUCCUGACAGCACCGGCUUCCAACAACACCCAAACUUACUUAGUAAUUUUUUUCCAUAACAAAAGCAAAAAUGCC
rnacentral:lncRNA from 1 species